rnacentral:lncRNA from 1 species
CUUUUUAGGGCAAAGCACCUGCGGCAUAUGGAAGUUUCCAGGCUAGGGGUCAAAUUGGAGCUGUAACUGUCGGCCUUUACCACAGCCACGGCAACGUGGGGUCUGGGCUGCAUCUACAACCUACACCACAGCUCACAUCAACGCUGGCCCCUUAACCCGCUGCGAGGCCAGGGAUAGAACCUGCAUCCUCACGGAUACUCGUGGGGCUCGUUUCUGCUAAGCCACAGUGGGAACGCCUCUUAUGCGUGACUUUUGGCCAAAGGGACCGGCUCUACCAAAAACAGGGACUGAAGCAUACCCAGGUGACUAUCUGGCUCACCUGAUUCUCUUCCCAGUGGGGCUUUGAAACAUGGGGACAAACUUUAGACACAGAGAAUGGAGCCAUUGCCUCUGUCGGGAUGGGAGAAAUUCACAGAUGUCUUGACAGCAGCUACCUCGCGACACUGAGUGGUAGCGGACCACUGGAAAAACUCUGGGUAAGAAAGACUAUCAAAGGAGCAUCAGGUCCAGAUUGCAAAUUGCUUUAGCAGCUAAAACAGGCAGAAAGAUAGAGCAACUCACGCUAAUCCAGGGGGUUUAUGCUUCGGGCUGGCUGCCUCUGACGCCCACCCUUGACCCAGCCCAUUCAUCAGUAUUUUGAUAAGCAGAUUCCCCUGCAGAGCUUCUUAAUCUGGGUUCCCAGAGGAGUCUUGCAGAGAUUAAUGAGAGCCCUGCCGCUGCCUGCCAGCUCUUGAGGGUGGGGCAGUUAAAUCACAAAAGGGAAGGGACUGGUCGCGGAUGCCCAAACUCUCCCAUCACUGGACCUGACGCCUCUAGGGGUCAACUCAGUAUCUUUUCAACUUAAAUACCUGGAUCUGUUUUUAUUUUUAUUUUUAAUCCACUUUCUCCUUGGUAUCUAGGGAAAUUAAAGCCCUGGCUCACAUCUUCCUUAAGGCCAGCUUUUAGCCAGAGCCAUGACAGCAUCUGGAGCUCAACAAAGAUUAGGGGCAGAGGCAGGCAGGAAUGCCAGGGACAGAGAGGAAAUCCAGUGCUACCAAGGGCACCACCAAUGUGCUGUACCCGCCAUGCAGCCCUCCCACCAAAUACCCUCUGGCUACAGUCCCCUGACAGUGGUGGGAGGGGAAGCUGGGGCUGCAACCCCAAAGCCUGAGCCCUCACAGAAGUGCAGCCCCUAAGACAAAAAAAAAAAAAAAAAGGGAGUUCCCAUCGUGGUGCAGUGGUUAACGAAUCCGACUAGGAACCGUGAGGUUGCGGGUUUGGUCCUUGCCCUUGCUCAGUGGGUUAACGAUCCGGCGUUGCCAUGAGCUGUGGUGUAGGUUGCAGACGCGGCUCAGAUCCCGCGCUGCUGUGGCUCUGGCGUAGGCCGGUGGCUACAGCUCCGAUUCCACCCCUAGCCUGGGAACUUCCAUAUGCCACGGGAGUGGCCCAAGAAAUAGCAAAAAAAGACAAAAAAAAAAAAAGAAGGCUGGUCUCUGCUCUUGGUGUUGCCUAAUAGCUCCUCCAAUUGUUAUUCAUUUAUGGAUUUAUUUUGCUUUUGAUUUUAUUUUGCUUUUACAUAUUUAUUUUUUAGGCUGCCCCUCGGCUUAUGGAGUUCUCAGGCCAGGGAUCAGAUGUGAGUCGAAGCCGGGACGAAGCCGCAGGUGCAGCAAUGCCAGAUCCUCAACCCACAGUGCCAAGCCAGGGGUGGAACCCGCAUCUCAGCAUUCCCAAGAGGCUGCCGAUCCCACUGCACCACAGCGGGAACUCUGCAGGCUGGGUUCCCUGUGAGACGUGAUCUGGGGAAAUUUUCUGGGCUGUCCUCUGGAGAGAUGGGACUUAUUUUGAAGUAAGAUGUGAUGAGGGAACCCUAGAUUUGAGUUCAGUUUGUGAAUUAUUGGGGCGGGGGGGGGGGUAAAAUCAGGCUUACCGAGCUUGUAGGACCUUGCAUGUGCUGGAAGAAAAAGUCUUACAAAUUCCAAGUGACAGGUAUGGCAAGAAGGAGGAGGACGAGCCGGGACAGCAGCUUCAACUCUGGCUGCUCCCGUGCUGACAUGUGUCCACUGAACGCAGCCUCAGGACUUGGGGGAAAAAGACCGUCACGCGGAGCUCCGAGCUCACGAGCAGGUCUAAAGGGACCGGCAAGUCAACUAACAAAGGCGUCGGGGGUGGGAACCCCCCUGGGUCUUCCCUCGCCCCUCCUGUGACCACGGCUGGCAUCUCAGGCCCGCUGUCCGUGAACAGACAGGGAAAUAGCUAACUACCCAGCUGAGUCCACGUUCAGCCCCAGAGGAAGGUCGACGGCUGACUGUCUAGGAGUCUGCGGUCUCACUGACACCAGCAGCUCUCAGAGUGUGGAGCACAGCUGCCCUCCGUCUAUGGCUGUGGACUGGGGGGGGGGACAAACAUGUGCUGGGAGGGGGGCCGUCCCAGCCCCUCCGGCCAGGCUCCUCAGAGGCUGGCGCAUCACCCAGCCCCCAGGUGGGGGCAUCAUGGAGGAGACCACGGCUGCCCCUGCAUCAGCUGUCCUGGUUCAGCAGACCUUCCUUCUUUAGCCAGACCUGGAAGCCAAAGAGGUCAGGCCAACCUGCAGCUCGGGGUCCAGCCCAGACGGGCGGCUACCUGGCCAGCCUCCUGGCCUCUGUAUGCGGCGCAGCCUGCUCUGGAUGGUAGGCUCCCUGCCCAGGAUUUGCAGUGAACUUGGCUGCUCCCUGCGGGAUUUACUGGGUCUGGACCUGCCCGCGGUAGAAGGUCAAGUGUCAGUUCAACGAGGGAGCCCCUGUCCCCCUUCGUCUUCCUGACUUCCCUUCUCCCCAGCCACCUUUUCUUCUCCACACUGGCCUUCUCUUGGCUCAGUUUCUCUCUGACCUUGACCGACCUCUGGUGUGCUGGGUAUUUUUCCAAGGACCACGUUGGCCCAUCAGACGUGCAAAAGGGCAGGAGCCUGGUCUCUCCUCCAACGAGCCACCCAGCGCCGUGCAGUCCGCAGCACCAAGACACAGAGAGGCCCUGAUGUGCUAAUGGUCCUUCAGAGCUCAGCUGAAGAGCUGGACAAGACUCCAAGAGUCCCGACUCGCCACACACAUCCUGACUCAAACUCAGUCUUUGUCUCAAGGGUGAUGGAUGCCAGGCUACCCGUGACAGGAAGGGCAACCUCUGAGUAUUUCCAACACAACAGGCAAAGCUCUCACCCGUGGAGUUUAUAUUAUGUCAUCAUCCCCCAGGUUCCUCGCAGCCCCCAGGACAGGCGGCCAGGGCGGGUCCUUGCAAUCCUUCGGUCUUUAAAUGGUUAUUGAAGACAUUCCCUCUCAGAAAGGGGCACUGAGCGGAGACUGCAGGGAGACCACUGGUCCGCCUUGGGCGUUCCUGGACCAGAUGCUCACCCAGUGUUCCCAAGCACAGUCUUCCUAAGAGCGGCACGAGGCGGGAUGGUUGGGGCACCCUCGUUGUGGCCCCAGUUGCCCCAAGCCAUCACCUGCCUACCGCCAGUAAAGGGUCAACAGAAAAUAUCUCAGACUGUUCAGGGCCACGUGCCAUCUCUGCUGCAUAUACUCUAUUCCUCGAAGUUUAUUUUUUAAAAACUUUUUGAAAAUGUAAGGACCACUCUUAGCGUGAGGUGCAGAACAAGACAGGCAGCAGGUGGGUUUGGCUCACAGACAGGCCACGGCUUGCAGAGCCCUGGCCAAUCGGAAGAAGCCACGACAUUUUUUAUCAGUCCUCCCCAAGCAGCACCGCCACCCCCGCCCUCCCAGUCAUGACACCUCCAGACCCUCCCACGUACCCAAGGACUGCCCCUGACUCUGCUCCAACGGCUCUCGGCAUCUGUGCUCAGGCCCAGGAGGGCCUCCCUCAGCAAACAUUUCAUGGAGAAAGCACGUCGUACAGAUGCCAACAACGAGCUCCUGUGUCUCUCUCAUGCUUAACCGGGGAUGCUCAAGGCCCAGACGGCCUCAUCCUGCACUGUGAGGGCUCACCUGACCGCACUCGUGUGGCCGUGUCCACACAUCUCCCCACCAUAACAGUGCCACUUAGUUAAUGACUUCACUUGGGUUCUUCUACUCCCCCUCCCGUGUGGGUACAGGGUGGGCAGAGCAAGGGCAAGACAGAUCCCAUCAGCUGCGUCUCGCAGCAUAGCCAGGACCCAUCACUCCCCACCUCCACUGUAGCACCCAGGCCACACCCCUUCUCCCUGGAUGCCCACCGCCACAGCCUCCCACCUGAGCCCCCUGCUUCUGUCUCUGCCCUCCUUCCUCUCCCUUGUGCAAAGCCCCCAGAGGCGUCCCAUCUCGUGCAGAGUAAAAGUCAACACCUCUGGGAGUUCCCAUCGUGGCACAGUGGAAACAAAUCUAACUAGGAA